GACGAACGCUGGCGGCGUGCUUAACACAUGCAAGUCGAACGGAAAGGCCCUGCUUUUGUGGGGUGCUCGAGUGGCGAACGGGUGAGUAACACGUGAGUAACCUGCCCUUGACUUUGGGAUAACUUCAGGAAACUGGGGCUAAUACCGGAUAGGAGCUCCUGCUGCAUGGUGGGGGUUGGAAAGUUUCGGCGGUUGGGGAUGGACUCGCGGCUUAUCAGCUUGGUGGUGGGGUAGUGGCUUACCAAGGCUUUGACGGGUAGCCGGCCUGAGGGGGUGACCGGCCACAUUGGGACUGAGAUACGGCCCAGACUCCUACGGGAGGCAGCAGUGGGGAAUAUUGCACAAUGGGCGGAAGCCUGAUGCAGCAACGCCGCGUGCGGGAUGACGGCCUUCGGGUUGUAAACCGCUUUCGCCUGUGACGAAGCGUGAGUGACGGUAAUGGGUAAAGAAGCACCGGCUAACUACGUG
rnacentral:rRNA from 1 species